UGAUAGUCAGUUGCGGGCGCCUCCGCCUCAA
rnacentral:sRNA from 1 species